rnacentral:lncRNA from 1 species
UAUUUAAUGGCUAACAAAUAAAAAAAAAUGAAACACAAAAGAUUAAUACAACUAUGAGCUUACGAAAUUAUUAAUUAAGUUAAAUAUUGCUUACCAACUUUCCUUUAAAAAGGUCAUAAACCUCCUCGGGAAGCCAUAUUCUGCUGUUAGCGUACUCUUCCCGUAUGACAUUUUCUCCCAUUUUUCUUAUCAUAUUAUGCAUCACAAAUAUAUUACUUAUGUUGAUGGAUAAAAGAGAUUUUUCAACAAGGUAAUCUAUUAGAAAACCACGACUCGGGUCUCUCAGUACUGAUUCCACACGAAAAUGAAAAUUAAAACCACCACAGUAUGCAAUAUCUAGAAAUGCAAUAUCUAGAAAUAAUUCCUUCUCAUCUUUGUCCAGAGCAUCAAAACUAAGCCUAAGCUUUCCUAGAAUAUCCUUGUGAGGGAUUCUCUUCAGCCGAUCAAUUAUGUGUCUCCAGUGCUUUUUGUCUCGUCCGUAAAAUGAAGAACCCAAAACUUUAAGAGCUAAAGGGAGUCCACCAGCAUGCUCCACCACUUGUCUUGAAAGUUCCAUAAAAUCUUCUUUUGGUGAUUUUUCUCUAAAAGCAUGCCUACUGAACAAUUCAAGUGCUUCAUCCUCAGAUAAUAGUUGGACUUCAUACACGUUAUCCCCAACGUGACUUAUUAACAAGUGCUUGUCUCUUGCUGUUAAAAUAAUUCUGCUACCCCUACCAAACCAUUCUGGCUCUCCAACCAAAAAUUCCAACUGUUCUUGAUGGUUUACAUCAUCGAUGGUGAACAGAACUUUCUUCCAGCGAAGCAUAUUCUUUAAAAUAUUCAUCCCUUCAUGCUCACUAGUUAGAGUCAAUUUUUCACCCAAGAGCUUGCAAAUGACGACUUGUUGUAGCCAUGUUAGUCCCUUUUUCUGAUGAAGUUUUCCAACAUCACCAAGAAAACAAUCAGCUUCAAAUUGAUGGCGGUAUCUUUGAUGUAGAACAUUUGCAAUUUCUGUUUUGCCGAUGCCGCCCAUACCCCAAAUACCAAUAGAGCGAACAUCAUUUGAUUCCAUAUCUAAUAAUGAGGUUACUUUAUCAACCUGAGAUUUCAUACCCACUAAGUUUUCCGGGAAAGGUGAAAUAAUUUGAAGUGACUUAGGAAAUAUGUCAUCAACUAGUUUCUUGACGCACUCAGCCUCAUCCCUACAUUACAGUGGAAAAUAAACUCAAAGUAAAUAAAUAGAAAAGCAAAGACUUGUCAUAGACUAAUAUCUAAAACAAACACAUAAUAAUGUCAAUUAUGAAUUAUUACAUUUUUAAAUCUAAUUACAUCAUCAAACAAUCAUAUACGUCUCUGUUUUCCUUUUUCGGUAAAAGUAUAGCUGAUGAUUGUGUGGAAUUGUAGCUAAAAGUUUGGUCCUUUUCGCUCUUGAUAAAGAGAAACCGGAAAAAAAGAAGAAAGCUUACUUGAAAUUAAGUAAAUGAUAGCCUGAUAUUUUCCCUGCCUCCACAAAUGCACCCCUCCAUCUCUGAACCUUCUCCAUAUCAUCUUUGCAUUUUUCCUCAUGUUGUAAAAAUGAAUCAGCAAAAGGGGGAUGUUGAUGGCACACAUCUGAUUGACUCACAUCAUAGAAGACUGGAAUCACAAUCUGCUCCAAUUCCUUUUUACACUUUAUGAUGUGUGCAAGCUCCUUUAAGCACCAUCUUGACGAUGCAUAGCUUUUGGAAAAUAUCACUAUAGCAAAUUUAGACUCUUGUAUGGCUUUCAAAAGUUCAUCAGAAAUUGAUUUUCCCGUUUCUAGUCGCUCAUCAUCUUUAAAAGUGCGGAUUCCUCUUAGUUCCAAAGAAUUAUAGAGAUGACUCACAAAGUUUCUACGUGUAUCUUCACCUCUAAAACUCAAAAAGACAUCGUACUUGCAAAUUUUGGAAGAUGAAGCAUGAGACAUUGUUGAAGAAUAUUGCUAAAGACUAACAGGCAAGUUCUCAGCACAACUGGCAAAUUUAUUUCUCAGCCAUAAUUUGGUGUAUGGGGAUACUUCCAUUCAUCUUCCUAUCUGUUACUAUAUAGAAUUAAAACAACCUGGUCAACAAGAAAGAAAAGACAAAGCUUAAUAUUAAAGAAUAAGGUUUCACCUACUUCACUAUUCCUAGGGAACUUCUUGUCAUCUUCCUAAUCCAUGAUUGUGAGAAAUUAAAGAGUAUAAAAAGACGCAACUUGGGCCGCCUUAGACCAAAAAAGGGAAGAAAAAACUUGUUAUCAUCUUCCUAAUUCAUUUGUACUACUUUUAAAAUAUUUUAUUGUAAAGACUUUACCUUUUUUUCAUUAUUCCAGACCUAUAUAGGAAACUACUUAUCAUCUUCCUAAUUCAUGACAUAAAAAUGUACACUUUUACAGUAUUGCACUGAUAAAUUAAACAAAUGAGCACCAAAUUGAUACCUUUCAGUAAAUUGAUAUAAAUUCGUUGCCCUACCUGCGAAAUUGAACAAAAUUUUCGUAGCAAUUUAGAAAAAAACACACAAAAAGCAGAAAAGAAAGACAAACCUCAUCAAAGAUAUUAAGCAGAAAUGAAGAGAACCACAAUCUAACAGCUGAUUGUUAAGUGCUAAAGGCAAAAUACUUUUUAAGCCCAAAAAAGAGAAAAUGGGUAUGUACAAGCAACAAAUGAAAGGAUCCUUGAAGCUCAAAUAUAGAGGGAUGUUGUUAUACUUCAAAGAAUAUUUUCUUUUAGGGUCAGAUUUGCAGACCAAUGUAACUUCUAAUUUUGUGUGCAGUAUAACAGGACCGUAACAUAUCCAAAAACCCAUGAAUUUAUAGGUAUACCAAGAUGGGUUCAGAUCAAUUGACAUCUCUUUUUGAUUUAUAAACCGAUUAUAAUCUAACAGCUCUGGAAUUCUGACUCCGGAAAAAGAAAUGAGAAAACAACCCCUUAGGUAGAAGUCACACUGCAUGUAAUAUAAAUUAUUAUUACUAAUAGAAGUCAAUUUGAUGAGAAUAUUCAACAUUCAUAUAUGAGAUAAAAACCUGGAUGCAUGUCCUGCGAAAAUGCUGUAGGAACACAUUAGCUUGUUCACUUGAGACAGUUUCACAUUCGGAUAUUGCAAGCCUACACAGCUUAGGGUAAUGAAUUACGAGAUCUCUGAUGCUCAUUAAGGCUAAAUGAUAAUCUGCAAAUAGCUCCCUUAGCUUUCCUGGCAGUCCAUUAAAUUCUGACAGAAUUCAAGUGACGCCACUUGAUGCAAAUCACCAAUGAUUUCUGGAAGCUUUUCUAGUCUUUUGCACCCUCUGGGCUCUGAGUAAAAGACGUUGCAGAUUCAUCAAAUUACAGAGGCUGUCUGGUAGACUUACAAGAUCUUCACAACCUGUCAGAUUUAGCUCAGUGAGGCCGCUCAUAUUUCUAGUGAACGAAGGCAUUUCUCUUAUCCCAGUAGAAUUCAGAGUCAGUUGUAUCAAGCAAUGCAUAUCUCCGUUGAUUUCUGGAAAUGCAUUAUAGAGAUGACUCACAAAGGUUCUACGUGUAUCUUUGUGACAUAACUUGACCCUUAGACCAAAAAAGGAAAAGAAAAAACUAGAAGUCAUUAUAUUUUUGCUGAUUUUAUUGUAAAGACUAGACUUUACCUUUUUUCAUUAUUCCAAGCCUCUGUAGAAAACUUGUUAUCAUCUUUCUAAUUCAUGACAUAUCAUUGUACCCUUUUGCAGUAUUGCAGUGACAAAUUAAACAAAUGAGUAGCAAAUUGGGGACAAAUAUAAGUUUUCCCCAUUUUAACUUAAUCAUACCUUCCUGUAAAUGAUAUAAAUUUGUUGCCCUACCUGAGGAAUUGUCCAGAAAUUGAAGAAAAAUUUCAUAAUAAUUUAGAAGAAAAAGCAGAAAAGAAUGACUGACCUGAGAGAACCACACCAAAAGCUAACUAUUGAGGUAUAUAAGAGCCUGUUUGGAUUCAGAAUAGUUUUAAAGUGUUUAUGUAAAUUUAAAAAGAAAUAGGCUUCAAUCAGCUUAUUGAGCUACAGAAGUUUUCUCAACUCACAAUGGAGCAUCCAGUUUUUAUAUUUACAUUAUAUAUACAAAUUCUAUGGAACAAUAUCACCGUAUACUUGAGAGUCAAUUAGCAGCAAACACAUCAUAAACAGAAAUACUACUUCUACUUUUUAUGGCUAAACAGAUCUUAUAUAAGCCCAAUAUCAGCUUCACAAAUGACAUACUAAAAUCUCAUACCCCUUCCAAUAGGACUCAAUUAUUUUUAAUAGCAUUAAUUUUCAAAUUAAAAAUGUCUCUCCCAAUCCAAGUUACCUUUUACAUAUAAAGGGAUCUUAGGAAGAUGGUGUGUACGUAACUUUACCCUUACCUAGUUAAGGUAGAGAAGUUGUUUCCCACUCAAACACCAACAUUAUAAAUAAAAAUUUCAUCCAUCUAUCAUCGAUACAAAUUCCUGGUAUAUAAUUAAUUUUCAUUUGAGAAGGGUACAUACAAAUUGUACCAACAAUGUAGAACAUACACUUUCCAUACCAUUUUAUGAUACAUGUUUGGUUGAAUACAAAAUUUAAGAAAGACAGAAAAAUAUUUGAAAAUUGUGAUGUAAAACAAGUCAUAAACAGACCUUUGCAUCAUUUGGGUUCUUCCCUUCUUUAUUGUCAGAAGCAUACCACAAUGUUUCAAACGGUAUAUAGGCACAACAAAUGAAAGGAUACUCGAACCUCGAAUAUUCAGGGAUGUAGUUCUACUCCAAGGAAUAUUUUCUUUCAGGGUCAGACUUGCAGACCAAUGUAGCUUCUAAUCUUGCGUCCAGUCUAGUAGGACCGUAACUUAUCAAAAAACCCAUGAAUUUAUCAGUAUACCAAAAUGGGUUCAGCUUAAGACAACAAAUUACGAGAUUUUUGCUGCUCUUCAAAGUUAGAUGAUAAUCAGCAAAUAGCUCCCUUAAAUUUGGGGGUAGCUCUCCUGGCAGUUCAUUAAGAUUCUGACAGAAUUAUACGUUCAGAUGCUGAAGGUGUAAGAGUCCUUUGAAGCUUUUUGGUAAACAAGAAAUAUUGCUUCCACUUACAUUCAAAUUUUCCAAAGAGUGCAAAGAUCCUAAAUCCUCAGGAAGUCCACUCAAUAUGUUGUGAUUAUUAAGAUCAUGUGAUGUCAAGGAGGAUAAACCUGAUACUUGAUUCAAGACAAAACUUGAGGAAUGUUGAAAUUGUUGUUCAUGUGAGAAUCGUAACUUCCACAGUUUGCCAAGCUUAGUGAUGGAGGGAGGUGGUUGGGAGAUUGCAGUUUCGCUCGCAUCAAGUAUAUGUAAAUCUUGCAAAUCACCAAUGUUUUCUGGAAGCUUCUCUAGCUUGUUGCACCCGUCGAGGUAAAGACAUCGAAGUUUCAUCAAAUUGCAGAUAUUCGAGGUCUCCUAGAUGCCCAAUGGAUGAAGGCACUUCUCUUAUCCCAGUAGAAUUCAGAGUCAGCUGUGUCAAGUAAUGCAUAUCUCCAUUGAUUUCUGGAAAUGUAUCUAAUUUUGGGGAAUUAGAUAUCUUGAGCUUUUGAAGGGAUUUCAUCUGAAUCGAGCUUGGAAGCUUCUUUAAGUUCUCACAUCCAUCUAUCUCUAACAAACGGAGCUUCUUUUGAACUCCAAGAGAUAUGGGGAGCUUUACCAAUCCAGAACAUCGGUAUAUACCAAGACAUCCCAAUUGCUGUGAUUCAAAGAGGUUGUUUGGCAGUGUUGCAAAUUUAUUGAAACCUGAAAUACUGAGAUCUCUAAGAUUUUGAAUGGCGUCCAGAAUACUCUCAAGAACUUCACACUCAGUCAAUUGCAAAUUUCUAAGGCUGCUGAAAGAUGGAGGUAAGCUUCUUAUCCACGGGUAUUUUACAUAGAGUAUUGAUAAGCGCGGCAUAUCUCCACAGAUUUCUGGAAAUUCUUCUAAGCUUGUGCAUUCAAGGAGAUUGAGAGUCUCAAGAGAUCCCACGCAGACAAAUUUUGGAAUCUUCUUAAGUUUGCGAUAACCUUCCAAACUCAAAUAAGUAAGCAGUCUGCAAUGUCCAAAUGAGGAAUGGACCUCUUCCAAAUUCACACACCGUGUAAAUUUAGUGUCUCUAAGUUUGGCAUAUCACCAAAAUUAGGGGUUUUUCUUAACUCACAGCUGUCCAUGAGAUCCAAAUGCUUCAAGUUGCUCAAUUUCUGUUUCCAAAAAAAAAAAAGAACAGUGAGCUUAACUAGUACUCCUAAUAGAAAUAUUUUGUAGGAAAAAAAAAUAAAGAGAAGAUAAGGUUGUUAUGAUCAUUAAAGGCGGUAGCCAAUCUGGAAAAGAACUUUUGAGAUACAUAAUUGUCUUAAAAUCCAAAUAUAUAUUUCUUUUCUUUUAAUUUCAUAAUGAAAAUAAAACCUCUUUAAACCUAGAAAUAAUUCCUUCUCAUCUUUGUCCAGACAAUCAAAACUAAGCCUAAGCUUUCCUAAAAUAUCCUUGUGAGGGAUUCUCUUCAGCCGAUCAAUUAUGUGUCUCCAGUGCUUUUUGUCUCGUCCGUAAAAUGAAGAACCCAAAACUUUAAGAGCUAAAGGGAGUCCACCAGCAUGGUGCACCACUUGUCUUGAAAGUUCCAUAAAAUCUUCUUUUGGUGAUUUUUCUCUAAAAGCAUGACUACUGAACAAUUCAAGUGCUUCAUCCUCCGAUAAUAGUUGGACUUCAUACACGUUAUCCCCAACGUGACUGAUUAACAGGUGCUUGUCUCUUGCCGUUAAAAUAAUUCUGCUACCCCUACCAAACCACUCUGUCCCUCCAACUAAAAAUUCCCACUGUUCUUGAUGGUUUACAUCAUCAAGGAUGAACAGAACUUUCUUCCAGCGAAGCAUAUUCUUUUAAAUAUUCAUCCCUUCAUGCUCACUAGUUAGAGUCAAUUUUUCACCCAAGAGCUUGCAAAUGACAACUUGUUGUAGCCAUGUUAGUCCAUUUUUCUGAUGAAGUUUUCCAACAUCACCAAGAAAACAAUCAGCUUCACAUCGAUGGCGGUAUCUUUGAUGUAGAAUAUUUGCAAUUUCUGUCUUGCCGAUGCCGCCCAUACCCCAAAUGCCGAUGGAGCAAACAUCAUUUGAUUCCAUAUCUAAUAAUGAGGUUACUUUCUCAACCUGAGAUUUUUUACCCACUAAACUUUCCAGGAAAGGUGAAAUAAUUUGAAGUGACUUGGGAAAUAUGACAUCAACUAACUUCUUGAUGCACUCAGCCUCAUCCCUACAUUACAGUGAAAAUACUCUCAGAGUAAAUAAAUAGAAAAGGAAAGACUUGUCAUAGAUUAAUAUCUAAAGCAAACACAUAAUAAUGUCACAAAGGUUGUUCCCCCGCUCUCCCCCCCCCCCCUGGUGUCAUAAGGUAGCUUAAAUCAACUAUUAUGAAUUAUAACAUUUUAAAAUCUAAUUACAUCAUCAAACAACCAGAUAGCUAAAAGUUUGGUCCUUUUUCCUCUUGAUAAAGAGAAACCCGAAGAAAAGAAGAAGAUCACUUACUUGAAAUUUUGUAAAUGAUACCCCGAUAUUUUCCCAGCCUCCGCAAAUGCACCCGUCCAUCUCUGAACCUUCUCCAUAUCAUCUUUGCAUUUUUCCUCAUGUUGUAAAAAUGAAUCAGCAAAAGGGGGAUGUUGAUGGCACACAUCUGAUUGACUCACAUCAUAGAAGACUGGAAUCACAAUCUGCUCCAAUUCCUUUUUACACUUUAUGAUGUGUGCAAGCUCCUCUAAACACCAUCUUGACGAUGCAUAGCUUUUUGAAAAUAUCACUAUAGCAAAUUUAGACUCUUGUAUGGCUUUCAAAAGUUCAUCAGAAAUUGAUUUUCCCGUUUCUAGUCGCUCAUCAUCUUUAAAAGUGCGGAUCCCUCUUUGUUCCAAAGCAUUAUAGAGAUGACUCACAAAGUUUCUACAUGUAUCUUCACCUCUAAAACUCAAAAAGACAUCGUACUUGCAAAUUUUGGAAGAAGAAGCAUGAGACAUUGUUGAAGGAUAUAAGACUAACAGGUAACUUCUCAGCCCAACUAGCAACAUUAUUUCUCAGCUAUGUGAAUGCAUAAUUUGGUCAAAAAGAGUGAAACAGUUGAGUUGACCAACCUGGUCAAAAAGAAAGAAAAGACAGACAAAUUUCCAGUUUAAUAAUAAAGAACAAGACUUCACCAUUUUCACUAUUCCUAGUCUUUAUGAGGAACUUGUUAUCAUCUUCCUAUUUCAACUUAUAAAAUGUUAACUUUUUCAUUACUGUGAGAAAUUAAAGAGUAUAAAAACAGACAAGAAGACUUACACCAAAAAAGGCAAAGAAAAAACUAAAGUCAUUACAUUUUUACUGAUAUUAUUGUAAAGACUUUACCUUUUUCAUUAUUCCAAACCUCUGUAGGAAACUUGUUAUCAUCUUCCUAAUUCAUGACAUAUAAUUGUACUCUUUUUCAGUAUUGCACUGACAAAUUAAACUAAUGAGCACCAAAUUGGGGCACAAAUUUAAAUCUUAACUUAAUCAUACCUUUCGGAAAAUUGAUAUAAAUUCGUCGCCCUAACUGAGAAAUUGCCCAGAAAUUGAAGAAAAAAAUCGUAAUAAUUUAGAAAAAAACACACAAAAAGCAGAAAAGAAAACUGACCACAUCAAAGAUAUAAGCAGAAAAGAAGAGAACCGCACUCUUAACUAUUGAGGUUUAUAAGAGCUUAUUUGGUCAGAUAUAUCAUUUUUAGGUUUAUCUUUAUCAAGAGGAAAAUGGAAUAAAGAUUCUUGACAAGCUGACGGAGUAUGUCGGAUUUUAGCGUUUUCUUUAAUAGUGUUUAUUAGCAAUAAACAAGCUUUUUUUUUUACUCGUAUUGAAGAUGCGUUUUUUUCUAAAAUGAUCCGUAUUGAGUUAAAUUAAAAAUUAGAAAGCAAGUAUUUGUGUUAAAUCAAGAUAGCCGGGAUGAUAUGAAAAAAACAAAAAUACAUGAUAUUAUUUAAUUUAAUUGAAUGUUUAAACAAGAAAAUUGAAGCACUUCCGUCAGUUAUUAUUCAUGCAAAAAUACAUUAAAAAAAAUCUCAAAAAAAAAUCAAUGUUCAUACAUUAAUUUUUAUUUUUUUUAAAAGGAAAACUAACGAACACAAGUUAUAUGGACAAACACCAACUAAAAAUCGCAUACCCUUUCCCAUAGGCAGUGGCGGAGGCAGGAUUUCCAUCGAGGGGGUUCAAAAAGAUAAGUAAGCACACUAUUAGUAUCCAUAUAAGCGGGGCGGGUCAAAUAUAAAUGGGUCGGAUCAGAUAUAAGCAACUAAAAAAAAUUCAACUCUACCUCAACACAAACAAUAAAAUCGAGUAAUCAUAUGUUUGACGAGAUUUGUAUUUUUUAAAACUAUAAUUAUGGGUCUUGUCUCUGUCAUUGUUGUAUACAAACGUUAUUUAAUUUUUGAAACUAACUAAGGAAUACUUCUAAAUCCGAUCAUACUGUAGCAAUAAAAUUUGCGUCGAUAAAAUAAUUAUCAAGGUUGAAAAAUAUCGCGACAAUUGUAUUUAUUUAUAAAUUUUAAAUGAUUACUCUUAUUUAUUUAAUCUUACUUAUAAUUAUAUUAAUUCUUAAUCAAAUAUAAAUUAAAUGUUUUCUUAAAAUGAGUAUGAAAGAAUGUAUUUUUAAUUUUAAUUAUGACAACAACGUUUAUAAGUUUUACUUAAUUUUAUAAAAAUGGAAAAUUAAAUUUAUUUUUUUAAUAUCUAAUAAAUAGUAUAAAUCUCAAUAGGUUUUCAAACAAAACAAAAAUUUUCAUUUAUUUAGAAAAUUAAAUGAAAAUCGGCUGAAAUAUGGGGGAAAAAAAUGCUGUUACAGGGAGUCGAACCUGCGACCCAGCACUUAUAUUGCGAAUUCUUGAACCCCCUUUACCACUAAACCAAGCCCUUAGCUUAUGUUCAGGGGUUCAUCACUUGGUAUAUACAUAUAAAUAAAAAAAUUGACCCUAUAUAUACCAUGUAAUUUUUCCAACGAAGGGGGUUCGGAUGAACCCCUUGGAUCCAUGUAGAUCCGCCCCUGCCCAUAGGACUCAAUUAUUUUUAAGAAGUAUUAAUUUUCAAAUUAAAAAUGUCUCUCCAAAUACAAAUAGCCUUUUACAUAUAAACAGACCUUUGCCUCACUCAUUGCUUCUUUUCUUUUUUCUAUGACCACUAUCAUCACUCAUUGCUUCCUCUUCAUACACCAGCCGAAUUCCCCAGCAUACUUCUUUCUCCAGCCCGUACAUGUGAGAAAACUCCAACAUGUAAUAAUCAUUUGGAUUCUUCCCUUCUUUAUUGCCAGAAGCAUUCCACAAUGUUUCAAAUGGUAUGUACCAGCAAUAAAUGAAAGGAUCAUUGGAAAAAGACCCACUCACCCCAUACUUCAAGGAAUAUUUUCUUUCAGGGUCAGAUUUGCAGACCAAUGUAGCUUCUAAUCUUAUGUACUUUGUAGUAGGACCGUAGGUUAUCCAAAAACCCAUGAAUUUAUUGGUAUACCAAGAUGGGUUCAGAUCAAUUGACAUCUUUUCUUGAUUUAUAAAUGGACAAUCAUAAUCGAACAACUCUGAAAUUCUGACUCUGGGAAAAGUAAUGAGAAAAUAAUCCCUUUGAUGGAAGUCACACUGCAUGCAAUAGAAUAGAGAUUAUUAUUACUACUACUAGAAAUCAAUUUGACGAGAAUAAUAUUCAACAUUCAUAUAUGAGAUAAAAACCUGGAUGCAUGUCCUGAGAAAAUGAUGUAGGAACACAUUAACUUGUUCACUUGAGACGGCUCCACAGUUGGAUAUUACGAGCCUACACAGCCUAAGACAAUUAAUUACGAGAUCUCUGAUGCUCUUCAAGGCUAAAUGAUAAUCUGCUAAUAGCUCCCUUAAAUUUGGGGGUAGCUCUCCUGGCAGUUCAUUAAGAUUCUGACAGAAGUGUAUGUUCAGACUCCGAAGGUGUAAGAGUCCUUUAAGGCUUUUUGGUAAACAAGAAAUAUUGCUUCCACUUAAACUCAAAUAUUUCAAAGUGUGCAAAGAUCCUAAAUCCUCAAAAAGUCCACUCAAGCCUAAAAUUAUCAGUUUCCCAAGCUUGGUGAUGGAGGGAGGUGGUUGGUAUAUUGCAGUUUCGCUCACAUCAAGCUUACAUAACUCUUGCAAAUCACCCAUGUUUUCUGGAAGCUUUUCUAGCUUUUUGCACCCGUUGAGUAAAAGAUAUUGAAGAUUCAUCAAAUUACAGAGGCUGUCUGGUAGACUUACAAGAUCUUCACAACGUUUCAGACAUAGCUCAGUGAGGCCGCUCAGAUUCCCAAUGGAUGAAGGCACUUCUCUUAUCCCAGUAGACUUCAGACUCAGUCGUGUCAAGCAAUGCAUAUCUCCGUUGAUUUCUGGAAAUGUAUCUAAUUUUGGGUAUUUAGAUAUCGAGAGAUCUAGAAGGGAUUCCAUCUGAAUAGAGCUUGGAAGCUUCUUUAAGUUCUCACAUCUCUCUAUUAUUAACAAACGGAGAUUCUUUUGAACUUCAAGAGAUAUGGGGAGCUUUACCAAUCCAGAACAUCCGUAUAUACAAAGAACUUUCAAUAGCUGUGAUUCGAAGAGGCUGUUUGGCAGUGUUGCAAGUUUAUUGCAACCUGAAAUUCUGAGAUCACUAAGAUUUCGAAUAGUGUCUGGAAUACAUUCAAGAAUUUCACAAUCACCCAAAUGCAACUCUCUAAGGCUGCUGAGAGACGGGGGUAAGCUUCUUAUCCAGGGGGAUCCUAGAGAGAGUUUUGAUAAGCGCCGCAUAUUUCCACAGAUUUCUGGAAAUUCUUCUAACCUUGUGCAUUCCCUGAGAUUGAGAUCCUCAAGAGAAUCCAUGCAGACAAAUUUUGGAAGCUUCUUAAGUUUGCGACAACCAUACAAACUCAAAUAAGUAAGCAUUUUGCAAUGUCCAAUAGAGGGAUGGACCUCUUCCAAAUUCACACACCCCUCUAAAUGUAGCUUCUCCAAGUUUGGUAUACCACCAAAAUUAGGGGUUUUUGUGAACUCACAGCUAUCCCUGAGAUCCAAAUGCUUCAAAUUGCUCAAUUUCUGUAUUCAUUUAAAAAAAAAACGAAAAACUAGUUAACUAAAGUAGUACUCCUAAUAGAAAUAUUUUAUGGGAAAAAAAAUAAAGAGAAGAGAAGGUUGUUAUGAUCAUUGAAGGCAGUAGAAAACGUGGAAAAGAGGGAGUCCCAUGUAAUUCUAUCAACCAAAGCUAGAACAGAUUAAAACAGAUGGAAAGAAAUCACCUAGGAGUCGUUUGGUAGAGUGUAUAAAAACAAUGCUCAAUAGAGUCUAUUAGUAAUACUUGCAUUAGUUAUGUAUAGAUUAUUUCUCAUGCAUUGUUUAGUUUGGUGUAUUAAAAAUUGUAUGCAUUGUAUAAAAAUAUUUAUGUACAAAAAUAUCCUCCACAAUUAUGGUGGAAAAGAUGUAAAAAUGCUUUUGAGGGGUAAUUGGGUCUAUGCUAAUACAUGUAUUAAAUUCAUUUGCAUUACUAAUACCUAGAAAUCCAUGGUAUUAGUAAUACACUCCACUAAUAUAGGGAUUUGAACCUGAGAUCUCAUAGUGCUCAAUCCACUUCUUUGACACCUAGUACACAUCCUUGGGUGCGCUUGCAAGUUCUUUAUUAGGUAGAUAUAAUUGCAGGAAGUAAAUUACUAUACAAUUAUAAAUCCAAAGAUUCAAAAAUAUUUACAUCAUGACUGUGAUGAAGUACUUCAUUUAUAUCGUGAAUGUCAACAAAGUUAGGUUCCGCCUAAAUAUGUUGAAGAUUUAAUUGGGAAAAGAAAGGUGAUGAAAAGAGAGAGGGAGAGAUUAUAUAUUUGAUUUUUGUGAUGAAGUUUGUACUUGUAAGAACAAUAUUUGAACUUUCAAGUGAGUGAUUACCAAAAAAAAAGAUUAAAAAAUUGGUGUUAAUUGUGUAUAACAGUACAUUUAUUUAAAGUAGCAUUUAAAUCGUGGACGGAUUAAUUUACGUGCAUUGACCUAUCAAAACAUUUAUUUCAAGCUCAUGAUUACGUUGAUUAAAAUUAGAAAAAGUAAAUUACAUGAAAGCGAGUUUAUAUACAUGAUGUUCUAUAAUUACAACUAUUUGUUCAGAUUUAUUAUUACAUUAUUCUGUACAAGAACUUUGCAACAAAUCUAGUUGAUGUAUAAUAUUUGAAAAUUUAAAACCAAAAUAGUAGAGUUAAUUGAUUUUAAUCCCUCGAAGGAGAAAACUUUGGUUCAAGCCGAUCCUAAUAGUAAUAUACAAUCAGUUAGCACACCAAUUGGAGUAUGUAGCAUGCGGACCGAAAAAGAUGGUAAUGUUAUGAGUCCUACAAUAGCUAAGGCUAUUCAAGAAAGUCAGGCUGCCAUGUUACUCAAACCCAAUUUAGCGAUCAAGCCACCCAUGGUCACAUUGAGCAUCUCAGCUCAUGAGGUCACUUCCCAAAAUUUGGAUUCACCUGAUGAACAUCAAGGUGAAUUUGGACAGCUCUUAUCAUCCACGGGAAAUGAUAAAGUUUUGGUGAAAGGUAUGUCACCACUCUGUCAAGCUAAUUUUACAAAUGAUUUGUUAAUUUCGAAAGAAAAACAACAAGGGGAGAUGAGUACUCCUAGGUGGGCUGAUUUUGGUUGAUGAAGAGAGCAUGUUUCACUCCUCUUUUGAAUAGAAAAUUAAGUCCACAAGCUCAAGAAUUUGUACCUAAAAGUACAAUUGCAAAGAAGAAUGAACAAGAGGCCUUAGCAUCAUGAUUUAGUCCAAUUAAUGCUUAUGCUAGUGAUUUGGGUGAUGAUUCUUUUGAUGAGGAUGAGGAAGAUAAUAUGUUGGACAUAUGCUUUGAUAAAGUGGCUAGAGAUGGGGAUAUCUCACCUAGGCAUCAAAGAAGUGGAAGCAACAAAAACAAAAAGAAGACACAUGGAAGACAACACAGAUGGGAUGGUAAUUUGACAGCGGAGUUUGUUCCAAGGCCCCUGCCGAUGCGACUGGCAAAGCAAAAUCAUAUGAUAGUGUCAAUAGCUUCAACAAGAUCCCAUACAUUCAAAAAGAAAUGAUGAAGUAUCAAAUUUUGUUGGACAUAUUUGAAGAAGACAAGAGGAAAAUACUUUAGGUUACUUUAGAUGGGCUAUCUAUCAUUGUUAAUUCACACAUUUGUAAAAAUAAGUUUGAGGUUGAUAACUCAACUUUCUUCUUGAAUUUUAUAUUUGUGCAUUAUUUAAGCAUUCUCAUUUGUAAUAUCAUCAUAGAGUGUAUUACGAAUUCUGUUAUGAUUAUAGAAUAUCUAGUUCUCUCUAGCUUUUAUUUUCUUCAUGCUUGUUAAUUAGUAGAGGUUCGUUACCUCAUAGGAUUUGACAAGGUAAGGCCUAGCCCCCCUUGCUUGUACUUAUUUUUUGUUGAGGAUUUUUGUUUUUAAUAAAAAAACUGCUAGACGCUCUGUCUAGUGGUAUUAAAAAUAAAUCAAUUUUGAACUAUAAAAAAUAAAGGGAAAAUGCAUAAGUACCCGCCAGCCUAUACCCGAAAUCCCAAAGACACACCUAACCUUUACUAAGGUCCUAUUACCCCCCCCCCCCCNNNNNNNNNNNNNNNNNNNNNNNNNNNNNNNNNNNNNNNNNNNNNNNNNNNNNNNNNNNNNNNNNNNNNNNNNNNNNNNNNNNNNNNNNNNNNNNNNNNNNNNNNNNNNNNNNNNNNNNNNNNNNNNNNNNNNNNNNNNNNNNNNNNNNNNNNNNNNNNNNNNNNNNNNNNNNNNNNNNNNNNNNNNNNNNNNNNNNNNNNNNNNNNNNNNNNNNNNNNNNNNNNNNNNNNNNNNNNNNNNNNUUCGGGCAUAGGCUGGGGGGGUACUUAUGCAUUUUCCCAAAAAUAAAUAAAAAAUACUUCAUUUAAGUUAUCUAUAGCCCAUUCCUAUAGAAAACAAAUACAGUUAUCCUACGUGGCACUAUCCUUGAAAAAAUUGUCAACACGCGCUGGGCCCACAAGAUAGUGCCACGUAGGCCGAAAAGGGGUAGAAAAUUAUAUAUAAAAUAAGUUCAGGGGGGUAAUAGGACCUUAGUAAAGGUUAGGUGUGUCUCAGAGAUUUGGGGCAUAGGCUGGGGGGGUACUGAUGCAUUUUCCCUAUAUUUAAAGCAAUUUCACCUUUGAAGGUUCAUAUAACAAAAAUAUAAAUAUUUAGUUAAGAUGAAUUACAGAAACAAGUAUAUAGCCAGCUGUCUAAUAAUUGUAAGAGAGUGUUACCUUUGAUAUUGGCCAAAGUUCAACAAGCCUACUUUCAGGUAAACAAAGCACAACGAGCUGUGAUGGUUCAAAGCUCUCUGGCAAUGAAAUUGAAGGAUACCCUAUCCAAUCAAUAAACCGCAGGCUGGAAGGAAGAUAAGUGACAGCGCAGUUUGAGUUAAAAGAUCCACCACCAACUAUGGGUAUUUUUAAGCUUUGCAUCCUCUUGAAAAUAUUGCUAUAAUCGACAAGAUCAUCUUCAAAAUAGUAAUCUUUAGGGAUACAUAGGCUUUCCACCUUUUCUGUUAUCUGUAUAGAAUGAAGCACAUAUUUAAUAGCUAACAAAUAAAAAUGAAACAAAAAGAUUAAUAGAACUACGAGCUUCCAAAAUUAUUAAUUACGUUAAAUAUUGCUUACCAACUUCCCUUUAAAAAGGUCACAAACUUCCUCGGGAAGCCAUAUUCUACUGUUAGCGUACUCUUCCCGUAUGACAUUUUCUCCCAUUUUUCUUAUCAUAUUAUGCAUCACAAUACUAUUAUUCAGGUCGAUUGAUAAUAGAGAUUUUUCGAUAAGGUAAUCUAUUAGAAAACCACGACUCAUAUAUCUCCGUACUAGUUCCACACAAAGAUGAAAAUCAUAUCUAGUCAAACAUGCAAUAUCUAGAAAUGCAAUAUCUAGAAAUAAUUCCUUCUCAUCUUUGUCCAGACCAUCAAAACUAAGCCUAAGCUUUCCUAGAAUAUCCUUGUCAGGAUUCUCUUCAGCCGAUCAAUUAUGUGUCUCCAGUGCUUUUUAUCUCGUCCAUAAAAUAAAUAACCCAAAACUUUAAGAGCUAAAGGGAGUCCACCAGCAUGCUUCACCACUUGUCAUGAAAGUUCUAUAAAAUCUUCUUUUGGUGUCACUUGCCUUGAAAGUUCCAAAAAUCCUUCUUUUGGUGAUUUUUCUCUAAAAGCAAGCCUACUGAACAAUUCAAGUGCUUCAUUCUCAGAUAAUAGUUGGACUUCAUACACAUUAUCCCCGACGUGACUGAUUAACAGGUGCUUGUCUCUUGCUGUUAAAAUAAUUCUGCUACCCCUACCAAACCACUCUGGCUCUCCAACCAAAAAUUCCAACUGUUCUUGAUGGUUUACGUCAUCGAUGGUGAACAGAACUUUCUUCCAGCGAAGCAUAUUCUUUAAAAUAUUCAUCCCUUCAUGCUCGCUAGUUAGAGUCAAUUUUUCACCCCAGAGCUUGCAAAUGACGACUUGUUGUAGCCAUGUUAGUCCAUUUUUUCUGGUGAAGUUUUCCAAC